rnacentral:snRNA from 1 species
AUUUCUCAGCCUUUUGGCUAUGAUCAAGUGUAGUAUAUGUUCUUAUCAGUUUGGUAUCUGAUAUAGGGUCACUGACUCACAAGUGUCGCCUGUUCUUUCCACUACUCUAC